rnacentral:rRNA from 1 species
UGGGUAACCUACCUAUAAGACUGGGAUAACUUCGGGAAACCGGAGCUAAUACCGGAUAAUAUUCGAACCGCAUGGUUCGAUAGUAGAAAGAUGGUUUUGCUAUCACUUAUAGAUGGACCUGCGCCGUAUUAGCUAGUUGGUAAGGUAACGGCUUACCAAGGCGACGAUACGUAGCCGACCUGAGAGGGUGAUCGGCCACACUGGAACUGAGACACGGUCCAGACUCCUACGGGAGGCAGCAGUG